rnacentral:lncRNA from 1 species
CAACCAAAUCUGUAUCCGUCACCCUAUGGAUAAGUCAUUCUUGGGGGUCUCAUUGGAGGGUUCCAAUCCCGGAUCCCGCUAACUGUUUUGUCAGAUUCCUGUAUCCCGCUUACACUAUGUACGUAAGCAAUUCUCAUUUUUUUGUCAUUUCCCAGGUCCCGCAAGACCUCAUUUCCUGUUUUAACGGCACAAUAAUUUGACUUUCACCUGUCACGCUUACAAAAAAUCGGCAAUCCCACAUCAAGUUUAGACCCCAAUGAGACCCACAUUCUUGAUCUUGGACCUGUUUAUUAAUAUUUCUUCCACACAAAGAUUGAUUGAUUAUUGCAAAAUGGCUACAUUGCAAUGACAGAUCAAAGAAAAAAUAAUGUUGAGUCAUCUUGGACUUCAGACAGACUUGUAUAUGAGGUGGGUCAAAAGAUGUAAGAGAACAUUGGAAUUUGGAAACAAGAGUCAGGAGGUAAGAAACAACAAAGGGAGAUAAACAUAGGCAUAAACUAGAAGUUUUACUAAUAAAAUAAUGGAUUUAAACAGACCCAUGAUAAAAAUCUGUAUCUGUAUCUUUACGUUGAAGUUUCAAAUUCUGGCUUUAAUUCAACAGGAUAAUAAAGAAUUUUAUUUUUUAUAAACAAUUCAGAAAAAAAUUAAAUACUAUCCUGGUCAAUAAAUUUAUGCUGGCUGAGUGUCCUUGUAAUUGAUGCAAAGACCUAUCAGAUUGUUUGAGAUAUUGAUGGUUUUUAUAAUGCAAUACAAUUUCAAUAUUGCUUCAUUUAUGCAUAAUAGGCUAGCACUUACGAUAAGAACAUUUUUUAAAGCUUCUUGCAUAUAAUGAUGGGUACCAAGAAAUGGCUAUAGCUCAGUUAGCCGAUAUUGAAUGUGUUAUAAGUCAGCCUCAAAUAAACUGACAGUUAUUGCACUUGUUUCAGGAGUUCAAACUUUAGGCUAAUGCGUUUCAGAGUAUUUAUAUAGUAAAUUCAUAAAAUUCAUGUCAAUAAAAUAUUUGUGGAAAAAAAUACAAUGCCACAAAUAAUACAAUGCCACAAAUAAUACAAUGCCACAAAUAAUACAAUGCCACAAAUAAUACGAUUCCCUUCCAAAAUUUGUGGAAAAAAAUUUGAUUACAUGACAAAAAAAAUCUACAAAUGAC